rnacentral:rRNA from 1 species
GACGAACGCUGGCGGCGUGCCUAAUACAUGCAAGUCGAGCGGACAGAAGGGAGCUUGCUCCCGGAAGUCAGCGGCGGACGGGUGAGUAACACGUGGGCAACCUGCCUGUAAGACUGGGAUAACUUCGGGAAACCGGAGCUAAUACCGGAUAGGUUCUUCCUCCGCACGGGGGAAGAUGGAAAGACGGUUUCGGCUGUCACUUACAGAUGGGCCCGCGGCGCAUUAGCUAGUUGGUGGGGUAAUGGCCCACCAAGGCGACGAUGCGUAGCCGACCUGCGGGGGUGAUCGGCCACACUGGGACUGAGACACGGCCCAGACUCCUACGGGAGGCAGCAGUAGGGAAUCUUCCGCAAUGGACGAAAGUCUGACGGAGCAACGCCGCGUGAGCGAAGAAGGCCUUCGGGUCGUAAAGCUCUGUUGUUAGGGAAGAACAAGUGCCAGAGUAACUGCUGGCACCUUGACGGUACCUGACCAGAAAGCCACGGCUAACUACGUGCCAGCCGCCGCAGUAA